rnacentral:rRNA from 1 species
ACUCAAAUGAAUUGACGGGGGCCCGCACAAGCGGUGGAUCAUGUGGUUUAAUUCGAAGCAACGCGCAGAACCUUACCUGGGUUUGAAAUCCUACGAAUCCUGCAGAGAUGUGGGAGUGCCCUUCGGGGAAUGUAGUGACAGGUGCUGCAUGGCUGUCGUCAGCUCGUGUUGUGAAAUGUUGGGUUAAGUCUCGCAACGAGCGCAACCCCUAUCUUUAGUUGCCAGCAUUAAGUUGGGCACUCUAAAGAGACUGCCCGGGUUAACCGGGAGGAAGGUGGGGAUGACGUCAAGUCCUCAUGGCCCUUAUGUCCAGGGCUACACACGUGAUACAAUGGUAAGUAUAAAGGGACGCAAACCUGUGAGGGGGAGCCAAUCUCAAAAAGCUUAUCUCAGUCCGGAUUGAAGUCUGCAACUCGACUUCAUGAAGUUGGAAUCGCUAGUAAUCGCAGAUCAGCACGCUGCGGUGAAUACGUUCCCGGGCCUUGCACACACCGCCCGU